ensembl:lncRNA
CUAAAGCCUACUCAAGCUGUGCUUGUGUUAAUUACUUCUCUUAGGCAAGUAUCUUUGCCAAGGCAUGAAAUGGAGUCAGAAAGACUUAUUUCCCGGUAGCGGCUCUCCUCAUGGUAGCCCUCCUGCUGAAGAUCCAUUGUACUUGAACUGGAGUCUUGUUCUUGUGUGCACUUGCAUCCCAGAAGGCCAAUCGUAUCCUUGUUUCCAUCAGAAGAUGCAUACCCGGCAGAGUGAGGAAGUUGAUUGUUCCCCUCUAUUCUGCCCUUGUGAGGCCCCGUCUAGAGUACUGUGUCCAGGUCUGGGGCCUCCAAUACAGGAAAGAUAUGGAGGUUUUGGAGAGGCUCCAGAGAAGGGCUACAAAGAUGAUCCAAGGACUGGAGCACUUCUCUUAUGAAGACAGGCUGAAGAAACUGAUCUUGUUCAUCCUGGAAAAGAGAAAACUGCAGGGAGACCUCAUUGCAGCCUUCCAGUAUUUAGAGGGAGUUUAUAAACAUUAAGGAAAUCAACUUAUUAUAUGGGUAGAUAGUAAUAUGACAAAAGGGAAGGCUUUCAAGCUAAAGAGAGGAAGAUUUAGAUUAGAUGUCAAGGGGAAGUUCUUUAUUGAGAGAGUGGUGAGGUGCAGGAACAGGUUGCCCAGAGAGGUUGUGGAUGCCCCUUCCCUGGAGGUGUUCAAGGCCAGGUUGCAUGUGGCUCUGGACAAUCUGGUCCAGUAUUUGAUUGAGGGUCUGGCAAGUCUGCCUGUGUCAGGGGAGUGGAAAGUGAUGACCCUUGAUGUUCCUUCCAGCCCAAGCCACUCUACGAUUCUAUGAAAUUAAUUACUUGAGUUGGAGGCUAAGUACAAGUUAGAUAUUCAUGGAUAAAAGUAAAUUCUUUAUUAUAAUUAAUAUUUAGAAAUGCUGACCUCAAAAUACAUUUUACGGUAACAGUAGGAAGGAAUAAUUUAGAUAAAAUUGACUAACAAUAACAUUGCAUAAAUUUAUUUUAAAUACCAGGGCAUAUUUUUGAAUAGAGAUGACUAAUAAUGCAUAUAAAUUGCUAUAUCAAGAGCAAAAUGUUUUCCUUGCAUCAAGUCAUUUCUCAUUUAUUUGAUAGGCAGCCUCAUAUUAUGUCAAAAAGUAACACCAAAUACAUACAAUAAUUAAGGUCUUUACUGUGGCAAUGCAAUCUUUUCUUUGACAGGGACUUAUUGAAUAAUCUUAAUCAUCUUGUAUUGAAUCACUGUAGUUUGAAUGGUCCUUCCAGGCUAGAAGGUCCUCCAUAUGGCCUUCUUGGUGUGCUGGAGAUACCUCUGUAAAGUAAGAAAAUGUGGAAUCAGUUACAGAGAAGUAGAAGAUUAGGUUUGAAUAGGUCUGAUUAGGUUUUGCUUAUUUUCCCUGCUCUGGAUAUCUCUUUACCAAUUGAAUAAAAUUCUUCAGGUUGUGCUGUAUUUAUUCCUGCUUUUUGAUCAAAUACAGGCGAAAGAAC